AGUGGGAAAUAACGUCUGGAAACGGACGCUAAUACCGCAUAACGCAGCGAUACGGCAUCGUAUUGCUGCCAAAGAUUUAUCGCAUAAGGAUGGACUCGCGUCCCAUUAGAUAGUUGGCGGGGUAACGGCCCACCAAGUCAGCGAUGGGUAGCCGGACUGAGAGGUUGAACGGUCACAUUGGAACUGAGAGACGGUCCAGACUCCUACGGGAGGCAGCAGUGGGGAAUAUUGCACAAUGGGGGAAACCCUGAUGCAGCGACGCCGCGUGGAGGAAGAAGGUUUUCGGAUUGUAAACUCCUGUCGUUAGGGACGAUAAUGACGGUACCUAACAAGAAAGCACCGGCUAACUACGUGCCAGCAGCCGCGGUAAAACGUAGGGUGCAAGCGUUGUCCGGAAUUACUGGGUGUAAAGGGAGCGCAGGCGGGAAGACAAGUUGGAAGUGAAAACCAUGGGCUCAACCCAUGAAUUGCUUUCAAAACUGUUUUUCUUGAGUAGUGCAGAGGUAGAUGGAAUUCCCGGUGUAGCGGUGGAAUGCGUAGAUAUCGGGAGGAACACCAGUGGCGAAGGCGGUCUACUGGGCACCAACUGACGCUGAGGCUCGAAAGCGUGGGUAGCAAACAGGAUUAGAUACCCUGGUAGUCCAUGCCGUAAACGAUGAUUACUAGGUGUUGGGGGAUUGACCCCCUCAGUGCCGCAGUUAACACAAUAAGUAAUCCACCUGGGGAGUGCGACCGCAAGGUUGAAACUCAAAGGAAUUGACGGGGGCCCGCACAAGCAGUGGAGUAUGUGGUUUAAUUCGAAGCAACGCGAAGAACCUUACCAGGUCUUGACAUCCGAUGCAUAACACAGAGAUGUGUGAAAUCCUUCGGGACAUCGAGACAGGUGGUGCAUGGUUGUCGUCAGCUCGUGUCGUGAGAUGUUGGGUUAAGUCCCGCAACGAGCGCAACCCUUAUUGCCAGUUACUACGUUAAGAGGACUCUGGCGAGACUGCCGUUGACAAAACGGAGGAAGGUGGGGAUGACGUCAAAUCAUCAUGCCCCUUAUGACCUGGGCUACACACGUACUACAAUGGAUGU
rnacentral:rRNA from 1 species